rnacentral:rRNA from 1 species
UUCUUCAUUUUAGAUAAUGGAGGGAACUCUGAUCUAGCGACGCCGCGUGCAGGAAGAAGGUCUUCGGAUUGUAAACUGCUGUGGUAAGGGAAAAAUGCUAUGUAGAGUGGAAAGCUACAUAGAGGGAUGGUACCUUACUAGAAAGCCCCGGCUAACUACGUGCCAGCAGCCGCGGUAAUACGUAGGGGGCGAGCGUUACCCGGAAUCACUGGGCGUAAGGGGAGCGUAGGUGGCCUAACAUGUCAACUGUGAAAACCCGGAGCUCAACUCCGGACUUGCAGUUGAAACUGGUAGGCUUGAGGACGGUAGAGGAAGACGGAACUGCCAGUGUAGGGGUAAAAUCCUUAGAUAUUGGCAGGAACGCCGGUGACGAAGGUGGUUUUCUGGGCCGGUUCUGACACUGAUGCUCGAAAGCCAGGGGAGCGAACGG